ACAGAGGAGCCUGGCAGGCUACAGUCCAUGGGGUUGCAAAAGAGUUGGACAUGACUUAGCGACUAAACCACCAGCAGCAGGUACUAUUAAUUUCAGCUUUCCUGGUGGCUCAGUGGUAAAGAAUCUGCCUGCCAAUGCAGGAGACAAGGAGACAUGGGUUCGACCCUGUGGAGAAGGAAAUGGCAACCCGUUCUAGUAUUCUUGCCUGGAAAAUCCCAUGGACAGAGGAACCUGGUGGGCUACAAUCCAUGGGUUGCAAAAGAGUCAGACACAGCUUGGAGACUAGACAACAAUCAUUAAUUCAGCCUAAAGGUGGUCGUUUAAGGCUGGCCUCUCUUCUGAUUGAUUAGUACCUGUACCAGUGCUCACAGGGACCUUUGCAUUGAAAAAGCAAUGUCAGAAAAAAAAAAAAAAAAGCAAUAUCAGUUCCAAGACUGACUUAUUCUUGAGGAGGGUAGAAUAAACUUAAAAACAUCUUCAUUUUGUUUGACAAAAAGUUUUAAAUCAAAAGCAGAUAUGUUUUUCAGUUCCCCAAACAAAUGUCAUUUACAAGUUGACUAAAUUGUGUAGACUUGCUCUUGAGUUUUGGUGCUGUUUUAAACAUAGUUUGGGGUCGCUUAUGAAAUAAACAAACAAAUGAAUCAACUUCUUCCACUGCUCCCCUCCCUGCAAAGAAGCCCAGCAAACAAAGCCAGUGCCUUUGUCAGGAAAGUACUUAUCCUUUUUGCUCACCAACAUGUCAGCUUGCGUGUCUUUCUUCCCAAGAUCCAUUUUCAACCGAGAAUACAAGCAGAUACAUACUCCGAUACUCACUAUUCCCCUGAAGAUUUUCCUGAAUUUACACUUUCCUCUUAAAUUUGAAAAGCUCUAAACAGAGAUUGUUUAGAUUGUUUAACAUACAUAUACGUAUAUACAUAGCUCAACCCCAAAAUGUUUUGAAGACAACAAUUUGUGAAUUGGUAUAUAUGUUUUCUUUCUUUCUCUUAUUUUUGAAAUGUUUUAAGCUAGUGACUAGUAAAACUAAGAUUUUCCAGCUUUUCAACCAAAGAUUAGAAGCCACUUCCUGGCCUCUGAUAAUUUUGCUUCUACUUACAGGACACAAAGAAAAGACAGCAUGGGGAAAUCAUUUAAUUCAAAAUUACUUCCCUAACAGCUGUACUUAUCAAAAUCAGAUAUAGAGACAUAUAGAAACAAAAUUUUGAGGAAAAACAAGAAAUCCAAGAAUUCAAUCAUUUCUAUUAUAACGGAAUAAAAAUAAUUAUUUAAGUUGCUGUAUCUUCCAAGUCUAAGCAUAGCUUAUAUAAAUGAACAAUAAAGUUUAAAUUACUCCAAACUAUCAGGCUAUUUUCGUAUCGAUACUUUUCUACAACACACUGAAAUAGUCACUUGCUUUAUUUUAGAUUUGAGAUUGUGAGUGAUCAACCUUUUUUUUUUCUUUAAAAAUUUUUUGACUCUCACGUAUACUACCAAUAUUGGUAUUACUAUUUAAAUUAGAAAAGUGAAUAAAAUAAUCAAUUUUUAUCAUUAAAAUGCUCUUUUAAGAUGUUCCAAAGUGUUGAUUCCAUGCUUUUCAAAGUUUCAAAGAAAUGUGAAAUGUGAGAAUUAAUAAUUGUUCACUUUGCUGUUGUCCUCUACUGUUCAAUUAAUCUUAGAAUUUGAUGGAAUCUUUGUUGGUAAGAUACCACAAUUCUGAAGUCAAUAUGCUUUCAUAAAUUGAAAACUUCUCUUAUGUAGUAAGUCUCUGUCAGGUAACAAGAGCCAAAUUAUUCAACCUAGAAAGGGCCUGAAUCACCUCUAGUAGAAGCUGCUGCUGCUGCUGCUAAGUCACUUCAGUUGUGUCCAACUCUUCACGACCCCAUGGACUACAGCCUACCAGGCUCCUUGCCCAUGGGAUGUUCCAGGCAAGAGUACUGGAGUGGGUUGCCAUUGCCUUCUCCACUAGUAGAAGCUAAAGUUCAUGAUUUUGUUUAACUUUUUCUUAUGCUUAAUUUAUGAACUUUAGUUCCACCUAAAGAAGAGUCAAGUAUCUGAUUCUGACCAGGAAAUGAAACAAAGACUUAAGCACAUUUGCCUUAAACAGUAAUAUAACUGUUAAUAUAAUUUAUUAUUUUUGAUGUUUAGCAACCAGAUAAUUUCUAAAAAAGAUUGACUAAUGACUAACAUUAAUCAGAGGAACUUUAAUAGUCAAUGAGAAUUCCUCAAAGGGAAAUAUCAUGACAAUCUUCCUCAACUUAACUUAUGAAAUCAAUUAAUAAAGCCUGAAAUCAAAAUUUGCCUUCAUGGCAAAGAUGAGUGGGUUAUUUUGAACUCUGAAUAUUAGUAGUCAAUCUACAGCCACAUUAGACAAGGAGCAGUUAAGACAUGCUAGCUUUCAGUGAUUUAAUUUAUUCCCAUCAUUAAAAUGUUUGUUUCAAAAAAAUAUCCCUCCUAAUAUUUCAGUGUCUUAGGGGGAAAAGAGCUUCUAUUGGCUAUCUCAAAAAUGUAAAAUGUUUAUGAUAUUUUCACAAGAAUUGAGGUUAGAAGUUAUUAGAGAUUUUUUAACAGUAAAGAUAUUAAGUAUGGCUGCAAAUAAAUCACUUUUUGUGUAUGUGUUACAUUUACUAGAAAUGAAUACCAUCUAUGAAAAGCAGGAUAGCCUGAUAUUUAAGAAUAUAGUCCUAUGUCAGAAUCUUGGAGUUAAAUCUUGCCUCUGCCAAUUACUAGUGGUAAAACUUUCAACAUUAUAUAACCCACAUGAGACUCAGUUUUCUCAUCUGUAAAAUGGGAAUAUCUAAUUGGAAUGCUAUGAAGUCAUGUUCAACUCUUUGCAACCCCAUGUAGCCCACAAAGCUUCUCUGUCCAUAGGAUUCUCCAGGCAAGAAUACUGGAGCGGGUUGCCAUUUCCUUCUCCAGCAAAUCUUCCCAACCCAGGAACUGAACCUGGAUCUCCUGCAUUGCAGGCAGAUUCUUAAUCGUAAUGAUUAUAUAAAAUGAAAAACCACAGUUUUCUUAUUUAAAACUCUAAGACAUAAUGUGUAUGUUUACAAAGGAAGUAUGGGGAACAUAUUGUAUAUUAUCCAAGACCCCCCCUAGAGCCUGGAGUAGCACUCCAAAAUCAAAUGUGCUAAUUAGCUACUGCUUCAAUAAUUCCUCAUAACAAAACAGUCCAAAAUUCAAUGGCUUAUAAAAACAAUUCUAUGAAAAAAGUAUUUUUUAUUUACAGCUCUGUGGGUCAGCUGGCAUGACUACUUCCUGCUGUGGGUCACCUGAGCUCAGCUAGAAGUGGCUGUGAAGUGAAAGGGCUCAGUUGUGUCCAACUCUUUGCCACCCCAUGGACUAUAUAGUCCAUGGGAUUCUCUAUAAAGCUUACUAUGUUAGGCACUAUUAAACUUCACAUGUAUGGCUAAUUCAAUCCUCACAACCUCUCUGUGAGGUAUCAUUAUCCUCAGUUUGAUAUCCCUAGAUAAAGAAACUGGAGCAUAGGCACUCUAAAAUUUUAAUCAAGUUCACAUACCUAGGAAGCUGCAGAAUUGGGAUUCAAAUGCAGGUGGCGAGGCACUCCUUUCUCCUAACCUUGUCCUAACCUUUUUGUGAACUGUGAACUUCCAGAUGUUCAAGCUGGUUUUUGAAAAGGCAGAGGAACCAGAGAUCAAAUUGUCAAUAUCCACUGGAUCUUCAAAAAAGCAAGAGAGUUCCAGAAAAACAUCUAUUUCUGCUUUAUUGACUACGCCAAAGCCUUCGACUGUGUGGAUCACAAUAAACUGUGGAAAAUCCUGAAGGAGAUGGGACUACCAGACAACCUGACCUGCCUCUUGAGAAACCUGUAUGCAGGUCAGGAAGCAACAGUUAGAACUGGACAUGGGACGACAGACUGGUUCCAAAUAGGAAAAGGAGUAUGUCAAGGCUGUAUAUUGUCACCCUGCUUAUUUAACUUAUAUGCAGAGUACAUCAUGAGAAACGCUGGGCUGGAAGAAGCACAAGCUGGAAUCAAGAUUGCCGGGAGAAAUAUCAAUAACCUCAGAUAUGCAGAUGACACCACCCUUAUGGUAGAAAGUGAAGAGGAACUAAAAAGCCUCUUGAUGAAAGUGAAAGAGGAGAGUGAAAAAGUUGGCUUAAAGCUCAACAUUCAGAAAACUAAGAUCAUGGCAUCUGGUUCCAUCACCUCAUGGGAAAUAGAUGGGAAUACAGUGGAAACAGUGUCAGACUUUAUUUUUUUUGGGCUCCAAAAUCACUGCAGAUGGUGACUGCAGCCAUGAAAUUAAAAGAUGCUUAUUCCUUGGAAGGAAAGUUAUGACCAAGGUAGAUAGCAUAUUAAAAAGCAGAGACAUUACUUUGCCAACAAAGGUCCGUCUGGUCAAGGCUAUGGUUUUUCCAGUGGUCAUGUAUGGAUGUCAGAGUUGGACUGUGACGAAAGCUGAGUGCCGAAAAAUUGAUGGUUUUGAACUGUGGUGUUGGAGAAGACUCUUGAGAGUCCCUUGGACUGCAAGGAGAUCAAACCAGUCCAUCCUAAAGGAGAUCAGUCCUGGGUGUUCAUUGGAAGGACUGAUGCUAAGGCUGAAACUCCAGUACUUUGGCCACCUCAUGCGAAGAGUUGACUCAUUGGAAAAGACCCUGAUGCUAGGAGGGAUUGGGGGCAGGAGGAGAAGGGGAUGACAGAGGAUGAGGUGGCUGGAUGGCAUCACCGACUCAAUGGACAUGAGUUUGAGUAAACUCCGUGAGUUGGUGAUGGACAGGGAGGCCUGGCAUACUGCGAUUCAUGGGGUCGCAAAGAGUAGGACACGACUGAGCGACUGAACUGAACUGAACUGAACCUUUUUGUAAAUACAAAGAAGCCAAAUCUUUUGACAAUGGACCAGGAAUCCAAGUUCCUGUUUGCACAUGAAUCUAGGAUAUCUCUGUCUAUUUUUUAAGAUUUGGGAGAUCUAGUCAUUAAUCUGGGUUUCCCUGGUGGCUCAAGACAGUAAAGAAUCUGCCUGCAAUGUGGGAGACUUGGGUUCGAUCCCUGGGUUGGAAAGAUCUCCUGGAGGAGGGCAUGGCAACCCACUUCAAUAUUGCUGCCUGGAGAAUCCCCAUGGACAGAGGUACCUGGCAAGCUACAGUUCAUGGGGUCACAAAGAGUCUGACACAACUGAAUGACUAAGCACAACACACAGCACAGUCAUUAAUUUGCUUUUUGUCAAUACCGCUUAUCUGUGAGCUCCUGAAAGUCAGGAGGGCUGUGUGCUGAUCCAUUAUAUUCCCAGUGUCUGGCAUAAUGCCUGGGAUAUCAUAGGCACCAAAUAUGUAUUUGUUGAGCAAAAUGAAUGACCAAAUGAGUAAGCUAUAUGUAAUUAAGGCAUUUUAAACAUGGACCUUUAAGAAAAUAGUUUGUACAAUUUCCUUCAAGUCACAUAGUAUUUCCUAUCUUGUUAUUUUACUCUGUACUUCCUACUGCUGAGACUAAGGGCUGAAGUAAGGAUGGCCUCCCCUCUGCUUAAGUCAGGCAAACACUACUGCUGGAAUGUGAUUCCUAAUGUUCUCCAUGGUGCCUUGGCUGUUUCAUUUCAUUUACUUCUUUUGUUGCCUUCACAGACCUAACACAAGUUUCAGACCCAUGGGAGGCCCAUAAAAUAAUGCUUAUUCAAUUGCAUUGUAAUGUCAGUGAAGGCUGUAGAUGAUGCCAGCCAAUUGUGAGAAAGCUUGGAAGGUUAAGCCCCAAGGAGGUUCCUGCCAUUUGGCUACAGUAUUUUAUCCAUUCCUACCUUAAUUGCUCUGUUUAAAGAACGUCAACAAUUUUAAGUUCUCUUCUAGGUAUUUGAUCCCUGGGUCGGGGAGAUACCCUGGAGGAGGAGCCUGGAAAACCCCUUGGACAGAGGAGCCUGGUGGGCUAAAUGCAUGGGGUCACAAAGAGUUGGACAUGACUGAGCACGCGCACGCACAAUUAGCUACAUAGCCUCUACUGCAAUUCAGUGGGAAACAAAUGGUGCUGGAUCAAUUGGAUAAACAUACAGGAAAACUAAUUUGAGAUGAAUCAUAAUCUUUUACAUGAAAAUAAAGCAAUCACACUUCUAGAAGAAAACACAGGAGAAUAUCUUCAUGACUUUGGAGUUAGACAAGGUUUCUUAAAAUGGAACAUCAAGACAACCUGUAAAAGGAAGAUUGAAAUUUUGAACUUAAUUAACACUAAGAAUGUCUAUUCAUGAAAAGACACCAUUUAAAAAGAAAAAAGAAGCCAUAGACCAAGAGACAAUAUUUGUAAUACAAAUCCUGAAUAAAGGUCUGUAUCCAGAAUAUACAAAAAACUGGAAAUUAAGAAAAAGUCAGCCAAUUAAAAAGUGGACAAAAGAGAAUAUCAAAUGACCAAAAGUCAACAGCAUUAAUCAUCAGGAAAAUACAAAUUAAAAUUUCAAUGAUAUACAUCCCAUCAAAAUGACUAAAAUUAGAGAUGGAUAAGGCUAAGUGUUGAUCAAGAUGUUCAACAAGUGGAACUUAAAUUGCUAGUGUUAGUAUGUGUUGGCAUACCUUCUUUGGAAAGUUAUUCUAUAGUAUUUAUUAACAUUAAAUACACCCGUAUAUCUAUAGCCUAGCAAUUCCACUUUUGCUAUAUACUUUACAGAAAGGAAUGAUUAUGUCCCCCAAAAGGCCUAUACAAGAAUGUUUGCAGCAGCUUUAUCACAAGCCCAAAAUUGGAAGCAACUCAAAUAUUAUAUAAAUUAUAAUAUAUUUACACAAUAAAAUGAAAUAAAAGACUGCUACAUGAAAUAAUAUGGAUUAAUCUCAAAGAUAUCAUUUUGAGGGAAAAAAUAGCAGUCAAAAUGAUAACUAACAUGUAAAUAUUAUGGCAUUCUGAAACAGGAAAAAAUAUAUCAGUGGUGAUAAAGAUGAAAAGCUAUUAGCACUGGAGAAUGAUUGACUAGACAGAAGUACAAAAGAGCCUUCUGAGAUCAAGGGAAUGUUCUAUAUCUUGAUCUAGGCUGUAUCUUAUAUAUAUAUUUUUUCUGUGGUUGAAUUGUGUCCUCCAAAUUCAUAUGUUAAAGUCCCACCCUCACCCCAGUAUCUAAGAAUGUAACUUUACUUGGAGAUAAGGUCUUUAAAGAAAUGAUUAAAUUAAGAGACCAUUUGGGAACAGACCUAAUCUAGUAUUAGGGCUUCCCUGAUAGCUCAGUUGGUCAAGAAUCUGCCUGCAAUGCAGGAGACCCCAGUUCGAUUCCUGGGUCGGGAAGAUCCCCUGGAGAAGGGAUAGGCUACCCACUCCAGUGUUCUUGGGCUUCCCUUGUGGCUCAGCUGGUAAAGAAUCUGCCCGCAAUGCGGGAGACCUGGGUUUGAUCCCUGGGUUGGAAAGAUCUCCUGGAGAAGGGCAAGGCUACCCACUCCAGUAUUCUGGCCUGGAGAAUUCCAUGGACAGUCCAUGGAGUCUCAAAGAGUUGGACAUGACUGAGCGACUUUCACUCACUCACUGAUCUAGGAUGAUGGAGAAAAUGAGGAGGGGACCUCAGGGAUACAAAUACACAGAGCAAAGAUCACGUGAAGAGACAGUAAGAGAGUGGCCAUCUGCAAGCCAGGAGAGAAGCCUCAGAGGAACGUAACUCUGACAGCACUUUAAUGUUGUACUUACAGCCUCCAAAACUGUGAAAAAAUAAAUUUCUGUUGCUUAAGUCA